UACGGAGGGGGCUAGCGUUGUUCGGAAUUACUGGGCGUAAAGCGCACGUAGGCGGCUUUGUAAGUUAGAGGUGAAAGCCCAGGGCUCAACCCUGGAAUUGCCUUUAAGACUGCAUCGCUUGAACAUCGGAGAGGUAAGUGGAAUUCCGAGUGUAGAGGUGAAAUUCGUAGAUAUUCGGAAGAACACCAGUGGCGAAGGCGGCACUCUGGGCCGGUACUGACGCUGAGGAGCGAAAGCGUGGGGAGCGAACAGG
rnacentral:rRNA from 1 species